UACGUAGGAGGCAAGCGUUGUCCGGAAUUACUGGGUGUAAAGCGCGUGUAGGUGGUGGGCCAAGUCUGUGGUGAAAUCGCCCGGCUCAACUGGGCGGGGUCCGUGGAAACUGGUCGACUGGAGGACGGUAGAGGCGAGUGGAAUUCCCGGUGUAGUGGUGAAAUGCGUAGAGAUCGGGAGGAACACCAGUGGCGAAGGCGGCUCGCUGGGCCGGUCCUGACACUGAGACGCGAAGGCGUGGGGAGCGAACGGG
rnacentral:rRNA from 1 species